UGUAUAUAUAGGGCAAUUAAAAUAAAUGAAGUUUUUUGGUAUAGAUCAAUCCCCAGACUUUGGGUCGUAAGGCAACACUUCUCUUGCGAUAGUAACUUCUAGUAUUAGUCUAACCUCAAUAUUAGAGUCAUUUAGUAUAAUGAAAAGUCAGUAUACAAUUUGCUCCAUCAAUCUAUCAUUUAUAUAAGUUUAUCAGAAAAAAAAGUAGCACGAGAAAAGGUGCCCGUCAUUCAUAUUAUCUAUUCAUCUAUUCCAGGUGUCUCAACAACUUUGUAAUUUUUGCGCAUCAGCGAUAGGGACAACCUCAAUGAGCGCAUAAAUAAGAGACAAAACAAGGCCGAUAAAGUUUAUAAAUUUCACAUCCUGACAGUAGUAAUGAGAAGAGUCUCCGUGACGACAUCCACACAGGUUUUUUGAAAAGCAAACGCUCUGCAUAAUAGCACCACAACAGCAACAGCAAGUGAAGCCAUAAUCCAUGGAAUUCCAACAGUCUCUUGCGCCAAUGUUGUAGGAUACAAUGCCGGCCUGAAUCACAUUCACCACCCCCUCCAGCACAAAAAAAUUAAGCUCGGGCAAGAGAACUCUUGAGACGUUGAUUUUCCCAAUAUCGGGUGGUUGAAGCAUUUUGCGAAAAGCGUUCAAUAAGCGAUUCAGAGAAACCAAGUUAAACAGGACACCGCACAGGCAUAAUAUUGACAGUAUAGCAUCCAGAACGGAAUUUGGAUCCUUAAAGCAGUAGUGGUAGUACAAGUCACAGCCAAUAUCCAGCAUACGGUGAACAAACAAGAAAAGAGCCCAAAUUUUAAGCAGUCGUUCGACCAUGAUGCAUUAAUGGUUUACCAAACAGUGCGCCACUUGCUGUUGUAGUGUUAAUUUGAUUGCAUAUUCAAAAUUGCAAGCAAAGUUGUUUUCUAAGGGUUGGGAACCCCCCCUGACACGUAUACAAUCCGAAAAUGUGAUCAGUCGCAAAAUGAACGUAAUAAAAGAUAAAUUAAACUUUAUAAAUUAUAGUGAAACAACCAUGCUGGCGGCUUGUUGUAUAUAGGCAUGUCAUGUUGUCAUGUACAAUUUCAGCAAAUUUAAAUUUACAAAAUUCACUAAGGCUCAAUGACUUUUCAAGGUGGUAGUGACGACAUUAAAACUGUCUUGACGAAACCAAAAAUAGACAAAAUAAGCUGUCACUGUAUAAUUCUGAGUAUCCAAAUUCCAAGAAAAAGUACCCAGAAAUAUGACCCUGUAAGCCAGGUUUCCACUUCAAGCGUACCGUACCGAAGCAUAUCAAAAACAUUUUAAUUGGUUAAUGUUGAUUGGUUAAUACUUACGUAGUAUACAUGGCGUGCUUAUGCGAUACCACGAUAAGGUAUUCUCAUAAGCACGCCCAUAUAUAUACCAAAAUCCAGUAUGCUCAUGAGCAUGACCAGUAUCACCGAAUUUUGGUAGUAGUACGCCAAAAAGUUGACUUGCAACGAACUUUCAAUUUUGAUACGCGAAUCAACCGAAUUUAUUAACCUCUUCUCAAUCUACGCAUGCUCACCAGUACGUUUCGGUACGGUAUGGUUCAAGUGGAAAAAACUUUACACCGCAUACCAGAUGAUCUUGAUACGCGGAAAAGUACUGGCAC